AAUUAGAACUUUUCUUGAUUGCAUAAUUCUUGCGACUUGGACAAUAUCUUCUCAAGGCACACAAAACCGUGUCUAACAUAAACAAACUGACAAAGCACAACACUAAUAAAUUCGGAAGGAAUGAAGAAAAGGGUCACUAGAGCUAUGAUGGAUCUAAUAAAAUAAAAAAUAAGCCCAAAAACUAAGUUAUCACAGUUUCAUCACUGUCACUUGGUAGCAUUGCACAGCCAGCACUUUAACCAGAGCUCCCAUUAAUACAAAGAUUGCACAACAGCAAGUGCAAUGAACCAUUUACGAAACUGAUUGGCCUCAUCACACGCCUGACUUGCGCAAUUCAGCGGCCCCAUGAGCAAAGUGGCAUCUUUGACCAAAGCUGCAAGAUCCUUUGCUAAAAUUUUCACAUAUCUUGGUUUUAUAGUUGCUUCCUGGAUGGGCAUGGCCGCCCCCGGGCACUCCAGUAGUUUUUGCUGAGGCAUUUGCAGAACUAACACUGGCAAUUAGCUCCGAAACCAUGGCACUAGCUUGCUUAAUCUGUUCAAAUGAUCC
rnacentral:misc_RNA from 1 species